GGAUAGUUCACCCAAAAACUAAAAUGUUCGUUGUUCUAAACCUGUAUGAGUUUCUUUCUUCUGUUGAAUACAAAAGAUAUUAUAAAGAAUGUCCGUAACCAAAGAGUUGCUGGUUCCCAUUGACUUCCAUAGUAUGAAAAAAAUUAGUUGCUGGUUCCCAUUGACUUCAAUAGUAUGAAAAAAAUUCCCAUUGACUUCAAUAGUAUGAAAAAAAAUAGUUGCUGGUUCCCAUUGACUUCCAUAGUAUGAAAAAAAUUAUUGCUGGUUCCCAUUGACUUCCAUAGUAUGAAAAAAAAUUAGUUGCUGGUUCCCAUUGACUUCAAUAGUAUGAAAAAAAUUCCCAUUGACUUCCAUAGUAUGAAAAAAAUUAGUUGCUGGUUCCCAUUGACUUCAAUAGUAUGAAAAAAAUUCCCAUUGACUUUCAUAGUAUGACAAAAAUUAGUUGCUGGUUCCCAUUGACUUCCAUAUAUGAAAAAAAAUAGUUGCUGGUUCCCAUUGACUUCCAUAGUAUGAAAAAAAUUAGUUGCUGGUUCCCAUUGACUUCAAUAGUAUGAAAAAAAUU